UGGGGAAUUUUGGACAAUGGGCGAAAGCCUGAUCCAGCAAUGCCGCGUGUGUGAAGAAGGCCUUCGGGUUGUAAAGCACUUUUUGUCCGGAAAGAAAUCCUUGGCUCUAAUACAGUCGGGGGAUGACGGUACCGGAAGAAUAAGCACCGGCUAACUACGUGCCAGCAGCCGCGGUAAUACGUAGGGUGCAAGCGUUAAUCGGAAUUACUGGGCGUAAAGCGUGCGCAGGCGGUUUGCUAAGACCGAUGUGAAAUCCCCGGGCUCAACCUGGGAACUGCAUUGGUGACUGGCAGGCUAGAGUAUGGCAGAGGGGGGUAGAAUUCCACGUGUAGCAGUGAAAUGCGUAGAGAUGUGGAGGAAUACCGAUGGCGAAGGCAGCCCCCUGGGCCAAUACUGACGCUCAUGCACGAAAGGCGUGGGGGAGCAAACAGGAUUAGACUACCCCUGGUAGUCCACGCCCUAAACGAUGUCAACUAGUUGUUGGGGAUUCAUUUCCUUAGUAACGUAGCUAACGCGUGAAGUUGACCGCCUGGGGAGUACGGUCGCAAAGAUUAAAACUCAAAUGAAUUGACGGGGUCAUAGCUGUUUCCU
rnacentral:rRNA from 1 species